GUUUGAAAUUUCAAAAUGUUACUGUUUUACUGCAUCUUUGAUCAAAUAAAUAGAACCUUGAUGAACAUCAGAGACUCCUUUAGUGACACGGGAAGUUGUGGCCUAAUGGGUAGAGAGUUUGAUUCUUAACCCUAAGGUUGUGGGUUCGAGUCUCGUGCCGGCAAUACCACGACUAAGGUGCCCUUGAACAAGGGCCCCGAACCCCAAACUGCUCCCUGGGCAGGGCAGCACAGCAUAAGUGACUGCUCCGGCUGUGUGUCUGCACUUUGGAUGGGUUCAAUGCAGAGCACGAAUAUUGAGUAUGGGACACCAUACUUGGCUGUAUGUCACUUCACUUCUUUCUAAAGAGCUUAAAGAUUCCCAGCUUUCAGAUGUAUGUGUACAAAACUGAACUCAUAUCAGUGCAAAGAGCAGUCAUGAUCAGCCAAGACUGGUGUAAUGUAAUGGAUUUGAUAUGAACUGUGAAAACUUGAUUUUAAUUUCUGUGUCUAUUUCUCAGUGGAUGCAUUCCUGAAGGCAGCAAUCAGUCUUUUGCCAGAAGUCCCAUGAACCAUCAUCAUUGAGGGAUCAUCCGGAACAAGGUGUGCUGUAUCUGGUGCGAGGGGUGUUGAAUAUGAUGCAGGACUACACCUGGGAGGACAACAGUGACGCUAAGAUCAGCGUGUACAUCAGCGCUUUACCAUUACUAGCAGCAAUGAGCCAAGAAAGCUAUCUUUACACCAUUCCUAAUGGUUCGGACUCUGGAGUACAUCAAACAUCAGGCGCUGCAGGGAAUGAGCCAUCUCUCUGACAUGACAGCACAUCUCUCUCUGCAGUCCAGAGCCUGAUGCACUGAUGGAGGCUUUCCAGUCAGAAUCCCUGAGAUGGUUUGACAUUCAUACAUUUCAAGUGUUGUUCAAAUGAUUACUGAAACUAACCUAUAAGGUCCUAUUGGCUCAAACUUUUACAGUCUAGUCCCAAAUCAAGUCAUGAUAUAUUAAUAUUUCUAAAUAUUAUUUGAUUGUCUAUAAUGUCAGUUUCACUUGUUUUUGUACAGUUUGUGUACCUAACCAGGUAUUAUGUAAUAAAAUGCUUUAAAUCAUGACAUCUUGUGGAUUUUGUUCGAGGACA